CUUAGCUUGACUCUGCCUUCCCAAAUGGCCGGGCCUCCCCGAGACAAGCCCUUCUCCUGUGUAAGAGGCUGGCCUCCUUUCUGCAGGCUCACUUUUCACCUGCAAACCCAAGGUGUGGGGGGGGGGUGGUCCCCCAGGCCCUGAUCCCCGGUCCUCCUCUACAGGACUUGCUCUCUCACCAGCCCCAUAUCUCAUGUUCUCUCUGCCUGCUUUCUUCUCACGAUGUCCAGACUCGGCGUCAGCGACCUGAAGUGGGUCACCUGCUUAGCUCACUAAAGGGAGCCCCCUCCUCUCAGAUGACAGAGGAGAGGUAGGUGAGAACGGAUGCCCCAUUUACCUACACCAGCCGCUCAAGAUGAAGUGUGCUGAACCCUCACAGUAUGUAUGGAUACCCAGCUCCGAUUUCUCUGCACGAGAGGAGUCGGCACUGCCGGUCCUACAGGACUGCAUUCCAUUUCCCGGGGUGCAUGUACGACAACAAGUAGAAACAGGCAGCCUCCAGCAUGUUUAGCUACAGUCUUAGCCACAGAUAAUCGGCCAGCCUGAAUCUCAGUCAUAUGGAUUCUCUGAGCCGGAAAACAACGGAAGGCAUGCAUGACUCUGUACAGGCUUCUCAGGGUGGAAUCUCCCCCCAAGAACUGAAGCCCCUCUCCUGAGACACGUGCAUACAGCCUCUUGGAUGCCUACAGACUCCUUCCUCGCCACAUUCUUCUCCCCGCCCUUGGAAGAGAUCCCAAGAGAUGACCCGAAGACAUUUAAACCUUGGUCUAUACCUAUAGCUUAAGCUGCUGUCAUUUCCUGAGAGGUAUUUCCGUACUCAAGCAAAAAGACUGCCUAAUCAUGACUGGACUCCAAACCGAUAUUCCUAUACUAUUGGGUGGGAGAGAGGGGUGUGAGCCAUAUCACAAAGUUUAGAACCAUUAUUCAAAUCUAACUCCAUUAGCAAGAUAAAUCAGUUCGUACAAAUCAUUCACUUAGUGUCCUCAGCCUGGAGGCCACCAGACAAGCACAGCCGCGCUCUCGAAGCAUGUUUAAUGAUUUGCCUCUAAAAAAAAAAAAAAAAAAAAAAAAA